GUUUGAUUCUGGCUCAGAAUGAACGCUGGCGGCGUGGAUUAGGCAUGCAAGUCGAACGCGUGUAGCAUUACACGAGUGGCCGACCUGGAUAGUACAAGUUGGGCAACCUGCCCGGAAGUGGGGAAUAACCCUCCGAAAGGAGGGCUAAUACCGCCCUCGUGGUCUUCGGACCGUCGCCAAAGCAGCGAUGCGCUUCCGGAUGGGCCCGACCCCCAUUAGCUAGUUGGUGUGGUAACGGCGCACCAAGGGCGACGAUGGGUAGCUGGCCUGAGAGGGUGGUCGGCAUCACGAGGACUGAGAUACGGCCUCGACUCCUACGGGGGGCAGCAGUCUAGAGGCUUCGGCAAUGGGCGAAAGCCCGACCGAGCGACGCCGCGUGGAGGAUGAAGGCCUUCGGGUUGUAAACUCCUUUCGGCAGGAAGGAAGGUGUGGGUGGUGAACCCAUGCUUGACCGUACCUGCGGAAGAAGCCCCGGCUAACUUCGUGCCAGCAGCCGCGGUAAUACGAAGGGGGCGAGCGUUAUUCGGAUUUAUUGGGCGUAAAGGGCGCGUAGGCGGCUCUGCAAGUCUGGUGUGAAAACGCUACCGCUCAACGGAGCGAAUGCGCUGGAAACUGCAGAACUUGAGUCCAGAAGAGGUGCGCGGAAUACCUGGUAUAGCGGUGGAAUGCUUAGAGAUCAGGUAGAACACCCGAGGCGAAGGCGGCGCACUGGUCUGCGACUGACGCUGAGGCGCGAAAGCGUGGGGAUCAAACGGGAUUAGAUACCCCGGUAGUCCACGCUGUAAACGGUGAGUACUAGGUGUGAGGGGUAUCCAUUCCCUUCGUGCCGUCGUUAACACAUUAAGUACUCCGCCUGGGAAGUACGGCCGCAAGGUUGAAACUCAAAGGAAUUGACGGGGGCCCGCACAAGCGGUGGAGCAUGGUGGUUUAAUUCGAUGCAACGCGAAGAACCUUACCUGGGCUCGAACGGUAGCUUACAGGGGCUGAAAGGCCGGCUGCCCUUCGGGGGUCCACCGAGGUGCUGCAUGGCUGUCGUCAGCUCGUGUCGUGAGAUGUUUGGGUUAAGUCCCGCAACGAAGCGCAACCCUCGUCCUUAGUUGCCAGUCGCGUCAUGGCGGGGACUCUAGGGAGACUGCCCGCGGUUGACGGGGA
rnacentral:rRNA from 1 species